GGCUUUUACCUUUAAGUGGGGGUAGUGACUGUGGUUGCCCCCCAAAAAUAGCUGAACAUAUGAAUUAUUUCCAUGCAAUAAAUAGUUGGACUUGGUAUUUGAACACAGCAUGGAGCUUAGGAGAGGAAGAAAUCAAGGAGGAUUCCAAGGCUUGGAUGACAGAAAUAGGGAAGCUUCUAGAAUUAGAUACGGUAAAGUGUAUACAGAAAAGAACAAAAGGCUAAGGAUUCCCUCAACCUUGGAGAGUAUCACAUGUGUAGAAGGUAUGCAGACCCUGCUAGUUGCCAACCUGGUAUCCACCUGAUUUUCUUUACUAACUUAACCCUCAGCAGCAAUGGUCCUGCUUCCAAAAAUACAUUUCCCAGCUCCUUUGCAGUGAGGAUGAGUAUGUGACACCGUCUCUGGUUAUGAGACCUAAGUGGAAGCGUGCUGGGGAUUUCUGGGAAGGUUUUUCUUUUCUCAUGUAAAUGACAGCCUUUCCUCCUUGUGGUUUCCCCUCAUUCUGCCUGGAUGGAGGACCGGAGGCAAGAGGUUGAACAGCCAUUUUGCAGUCAUGGCUAACCAUGAAGACAAAAGCCACCUGCUAAGGAUGAGAGAGCAGAAAGAUAGAAGCUGCCUGGGAAACUGGGAACAUUGCAAAGCCAUUGUGCCAGUCCUGGAUUGUCUACCUGUGCACUUCAUGUGAAAUAAGAAAAACGAGGCCAGGUAACUGGGAAACCAGAUCCAUUGUCAGAAGCUUGCUGAAUGAGCCCAGAACCGGAAUGAAAACACUCCUGCUUGGAUGCAUGCGCUUUCUCAGAAGUGGUAGUGCAGAUGAAUCUCCUGCCGCCUCUCUCCAUCUGGACUGUGUACGCGUCUCUCAGUGCUGGGCCCUAAGUCUUUCUUUAAUCACACAGUGCCCCUUAGAGCUGCUGAGGUUAUGGCUUUCUUCACGCUCUGAUCCAAGCCUAAGGAUAGCCACUGGUCCCCUGGACAGGUCUGAUACAAUGUGGCAGCAAGGUACCUGCCCAGGACAGUGGAGAUGUGGACACCUGGGUGCUGGUAGAGCAGUGGAACGCCCUGGAGAAGGACAGCCUGGAGACAAAACUUGAG
rnacentral:lncRNA from 10 species